rnacentral:misc_RNA from 1 species
AAUGCACCUUGCGCUCCUUGGUAUUCCGAGGAGCAUGCCUGUUUGAGUGUCAUCAAAACAUCAGAUCGAAGCUUUCGACCUCAUCAGAGCUCGGUUUGGACUUAUGGGAGUCUGCGGGCGAACCUCCCGUCGGGGGGACGUCGGCUCUCCUCAAAAGCAUUAGCGUUGGGUGCGAGCCUCGCGUGGCACGGCCUCUUCGACGUCAUAAUGACCGUCAUGGGCUGGAAGUGCGUGGACUCUGCGAGCCCGGUCCGUCCAGCCGCGUGUUAUCGAAGCUUGACCUCAAAUCAGGUAGGACUACCCGCUGAACUUAA